CUGGUGGAUAUCCACCAUGAGGUGGAUGAGGGUAUCCUCCAUGAGGAGGAUAUCCUGCAGGUGGGUAUCCGCCAUGAGGAGGAUAUCCCGCUGGUGGAGGAUAUCCAGCCGGUGGGUAUCCUUGUGGGGGAUAUCCUUGAGGAGGAUAUCCUUGUGGAGGGUAGGAUCCAGGCGGAGGAUAAUGUCCGGCGGCAUAGCCAGCAAGAUGAGAAAACAGCCCUUUGUCACUUGAUUCACCUUCCCUACCACCGCCCAUUUUUCUUCAACUUAAAAUUAACGAUUUCGAGUAA
rnacentral:lncRNA from 1 species